rnacentral:rRNA from 1 species
CAGUCGCCACGGUAAUACGGAGGGUGCAAGCGUUAUCCGGAUUUAUUGGGUUUAAAGGGUCCGUAGGCGGAUCUGUAAGUCAGUGGUGAAAUCUCACAGCUUAACUGUGAAACUGCCAUUGAUACUGCAGGUCUUGAGUAAAUUUGAAGUGGAUGGAAUAAGUAGUGUAGCGGUGAAAUGCAUAGAUAUUACUUAGAACACCAAUUGCGAAGGCAGGUCACUAAGAUUUAACUGACGCUGAUGGACGAAAGCGUGGGGAGCGAACAGGAUUAGAUACCCCCGUAGUCCCUGUCUCUUAUAC